GAUUAACGCUGGCGGCGUGCCUAACACAUGCAAGUCGAACGAGGUAGCAAUACCUAGUGGCAGACGGGUGAGUAACGCGUGGUCAACCUACCGUUGAGUGGGGGAUAACUAGCCGAAAGGUUAGCUAAUACGCAUACGUCUCCGAGGGGCAUCCCUUGGCGAUAAAAGGAGCAAAUCCGCUCGAUGACGGGACCGCGUCCCAUUAGCUAGAUGGUGGGUAACGGCCUACCAUGGCACCGAUGGGUAGCUGGUUUGAGAGAGCGACCAGCCACACUGGGACUGAGAAAC
rnacentral:rRNA from 1 species